rnacentral:tRNA from 1 species
GUUUUUAUAGUUUAUUAAAACAUUUUAUUUUCAUUAAAAAGAUGGAAUUCCUUUAAAUA